rnacentral:rRNA from 1 species
AGCCUGAACGCUGGCGGCGUGGCUAAGACAUGCAAGUCGUACGGGUGCAGCAAUGCACCAGUGGCGAACGGGUGAGUAAUGUAUCGCUAAUGUGCCCCAGGGUCUGGGAUAGCUGGGGGAAACUCCAGGUAAUACCAGAUGACAUCACCGCGAGGCAUCUCGUGGUGCUCAAAGGGAAACCGCCCAGGGAGCAGGCGAUAUCGUAUCAGCUAGUUGGCGGGGUAACGGCCCACCAAGGCGACGACGCGUAGCCGGACUGAGAGGUUGGCCGGCCACAUUGGGACUGAGACACUGCCCAGACUCCUACGGGGGGCUGCAGUAACGAAUCUUCCGCAAUGCACGCAAGUGUGACGGAGCGACGCCGCGUGCGGGAUGAAGGCCUUCGGGUUGUAAACCGCUUUCAGCAGGGACGAAAUUGACGGUACCUGCAGAAGAGGCCGGCAACUACGUGCCAGCAGCCGC